AGCAGCCGCGGUAAUUCCAGCUCCAAUAGCGUAUAUUAAAGUUGUUGCAGUUAAAAAGCUCGUAGUUGAAUUUCGGAAUCUGUCCGUUGGUCGGGCUUCACUGUCCGUACUGGUGUGAUGGGUUCUUACCUUCUGAAUAACCAGCAUGCCAUUCAUUUGGUGCGCUGGGGAAGCAGGACUAUUACCUUGAAAAAAUUAGAGUGCUCAAAGUAGGCUAGCGCCUGAAUACAUUAGCAUGGAAUAAUAAAAUAGGACGGCAUGGUUCUAUUUUGUUGGUUUCUAGGAUCACCGUAAUGAUUAAUAGGGAUAGUUGGGGGCAUUAGUAUUCAAUUGUCAGAGGUGAAAUUCUUGGAUUUAUUGAAGACUAACCUCUGCGAAAGCAUUUGCCAAGGAUGUUUUCAUUAAUCAAGAACGAAAGUUAGGGGAUCGAAGACGAUCAGAUACCGUCGUAGUCUUAACCAUAAACUAUGCCGACUAGGGAUCGGACGAAGUUAAUUUUUUAAUGACUCG
rnacentral:rRNA from 1 species